AACGCCAAGCACGUACGGCCUGCAGUGAUGAACGCGGAGCGGACAGGCGCGGUGCGUCAUGGGAAUGACUGAAGGCUAAUCCAAGAUGGCGCCCUCCACAGAUUAUCGAAUGGGCCGAGAUUAUACACGUACACGCCUGCGCCUGGAAAUGUGCCUUACUGGACGUAUUUAUUCCACGUAACCCAAUCUACAGGUGCUGAUGACACUCAACCCAGGCAGGCCAUCAGUGCACAUGAGAUGACAGCAGAUGAGAAGCUGAUUAUGCAAUGGAUUACCUGCUUCUACAACAUGCAAAUGGGAGAGUUAUAAUGAACAUUAACGAAGUCCCAAUUUCUUUGUAAAAAGAUAAACAGCUAGUAGAAGCAUGCUUUUUGCAAUGCACUGUGUUACUAUGACAAUUACAAUGACUCAGAUUUAGAUGCUUUGAAAUCAUAGCUCUCUGGACUGUAGAUGUCAUGUUAAAGCUAAUAUGUAGCACGCAGUAUCCUAGAUGCAAUGUUGUGAGGAACCAUUUUGCAUAUCCAUAUUUACAAAUAGCUUGCAAUUAUAUACCUCAGGACUAUGUAUGCUGUCAGUAACUGUAAGUCCCUGAGGCAUGACUGAUUGACCAAGGAAGCAGAGCAUUUUCUUAAAUGUUCAAAUUCUGUGUUUUAUCAAAAUUUCAUUGAACAGGUAGCUAUAUGGAGAGGGGUGGAUUAAUUGUCUGUUUAAGAUGCUCUCCAGGAAAUGUUAAGGUAUAUAACGUUGAGCUAUUCCUGAUGAAAUGAUUUUAAAAACACAGUACAUUUCAUGCUUUAAGUGUAGAGCUUUUCACCCUAUGUACGAUACAUAAUGGUAAUUCAUGAGUUUUCCUUAUUUGCAUGCAUAUACAAAAAUAAGUGCAAACACAUGACCACAUGCAGUUGUGCAUUGUAUAUAAAGGUAUGAACAAGUUGACCUCUAUUUUCCAGGUAGACAGUUAUUUACUUAGAUCCUUUUUGUCAAGCUUUAUUUUGCUGCAGUCAAGUCAUCAGAAAUAAACAAUGGUCCCUGGGAAAAA